GAAAGCACCUUUUUACAAUUAAAAUUAAUCAGAAAAUGUUAUGCAGAUACUUUCAUUUUUCAAUUUAUUUAUCUUCUUUAGAGUUCAUUUAUGAAAAAAAAAACUAUUUUACGAUAUGUAAAUAUUAUCUCAUAUUUCGAAUUUUAUUCAUGAUUUUUGAGUUUUUUGAGUUUUUCCAAUAUUCUCAACAGUUUGCAUCAAGCGUAUUACUUUUUGUAUUAUUAUUUUAAUUUUGGAAAUUUGAUGAACAUGACUUGCACCAGCUUCUGCUGCUGGUUGGACUGUUCAAUAACAAAUAUCUAUGCCCUGAUCACAUGGUUUCAUGUCAUUUCACACGGUUUUGGUUUGUUUACAUGUAUGGUUAUUGAACACAAAUGGAAUCAGUAAUGCUGAAAUCCGGAAUCAGUAUUCACAGUAAUGAAUCCAUUUGUUCUGGAAAAAGGUGAUCAGAAACACAUGGGCUAAUGAAUGAUCCAAAGUGUUUGCUGAAUGUCGUGACGUGACAAGCUGCAAUUGGGCCAGCAGGUGGCGCUGGUCAAUCACGAAACAAGUGAAAACAACUGCUGCCCCGCAGGAGUCGGAAUGUUCCAGGUUGUCGAACACCUACCAGUAAUAAUCGCCGAGUGUCCUCCGCCACCACUAAGUAUACGGACCUUUCCGCCCUGAAAUGCUGAGGCGCACGCCUGCUGGGGCACGAGCUGGUCGACCUCAUGUCCCAGUCCCAGCUGUCCGUAGCUGUUAGCGCCCUUCAAGACACAUGUCCGCGUUAACCAGCGCUUCACAGCCUCAAAACAGGACCAGCAUCAACCCAGUGAACUGACAGAGCUGUUGUGCUAUCGCUGGCUAAAGUGCUAAGUUGUGCUGCUACACAGCCUUCGUCUCUCAGUGUACGAAUUUCAAAGACAAUGUAACAGUGUCCACUUACUUUUAGCUCACUGAUGGAUGACAGCAGACCUGCCCCGUAAGCUCGCAGCUGCCCUUCCUGUUUGCAUAAGCCAAACUCCACUGUGAAGAAGUAGCACUGGACCAGAAAGAAAGGGGAGUCAUCAGAAGCACCAAGUGAAGCAAGGCCAAUCUCCUGAGAGAACUGAGCAAAGCUGGGCUCAGCCAAUAAUGGGACGUGACCCAGCAACUCGUG